rnacentral:rRNA from 1 species
GGCGGAGCUAAUCCCUUAAAGCUACUCUCAGUUCGGAUUGUAGGCUGAAACUCGCCUACAUGAAGCUGGAGUUACUAGUAAUCGCAGAUCAGAAUGCUGCGGUGAAUGCGUUCCCGGGUCUUGUACACACCGCCCGUCACACCACGGGAGUUGGAGACGCCCGAAGCCGAUUAUCUAACCUUUUGGAAGAAGUCGUCGAAGGUGGAAU